AGGAGACACCGCAGUGAUGGCCCCGCCAUAUUGAGAACUGCCCGUCCGGCUCGAUCCCGCUAGCAGUAAGGUGACGCCGAGCACAGACAGAUGGCGUACAAAAUAGUGUAGUGUUCUGUGGACGGAAGCAGGAGCGACCUGGACAGGCGGCCGUCGCCCAGCGCCGCAGAAGACGACGUCUCGGACGGCCGACUCUACAC